UGAAAGGUACACACCACACUAGCAAAUGCUUGACUGGACCCAUAAGGCCGGAUGACCAAUGGAAUAUCAAGACAGGUAUUCUAAUUCAUAAGAGACUUCUACAUGAAAAGCAUCAAAUAGAAGAAUUUUUCUUCAGUUAAGUUUCAUCGAAGAGAAGAGCUCUGAAAAGUCCACAAACUCCAUUAUGCCUUACUUUCCUGAGUCUGUAAAACAGCAAGGUUCACUGCCAGGAUCCAGAGGAUUCCCGAAGGAUGGAAGUGAUCACUCUUAAAAAUUAAACACCUAAG